UUGAAAAGUGCCUACCCCUGGCCUGGGAUGCUUCCUCCUGGGAUGCUCCCACUUGGAACCCAACUAUUGUGCUGCAGAAGUUUAACUUAACUGUGUAAGGAGGCCAAGAGGAGGCCCUGGCUGCCAGCCAGCAUCAACUUCCAGUGACGUGAGUGUGCCAUUCUGGAACUGGAUCCUGCAGCCUCGGUGGAGCAGCCUCAGCUGAUGCCAUGUGGAACAGAGAUGAACUGCCGCUGCCGAGCUCUGCCCACGUUGCAGAAUCAUGAGCAAAUGUUCAAGUGAUUCUCCUGCCUCAGCCUCCCAAGUAGCUGGGAUUACAGAUGUUGUGGAUUGGCUGUAACUCUGCUCUGGGAUCCAGGCUGAAGGAGCAGGCUCUAUCUGGAACAUUACUAGUCUCCAGGCAGAAGAAAAAGAGACAAUGGAAUGGAUGAUUGAAUGGAUGAAUGAACUCCACAGGAAGAUGAGGAAAGCCUUUAUGGAUGGAGUGAGCUUGCAGCAGAGUCUCAAAGGAAGAAGAAAUAAAACAAACUUCUACAUGGCAAAAUAAACCUCUACAUGGCAAAAUAAACCUCUACAUGGCAAAAUAAACCUCUACAUGGAUAGAGAUCUGUCUCAGACACAUUUUGGUUUCCAUGACUUCUGAAUGGCAGCAUGAGGAGCUCCAUGAACCCUCUCCCCAGUGAAAUGACCAUAAUCUCUGGAAAUUGCUUAAGAUCAAAGCCACAACUAUUUAAAGCCUUUGGAAAUUGUUUUAUGGGGAUGCGGCAAAUUAAUAAACUUUUAUUCAAGAAAAUGUACUAAGUCUCAGUAAGAACAGUGAGAGUCAAUAACAUUUGUACCACAAAAGACUUCCUCCCUCCUUCUUCUAGCUCAGCAUGAUGGAAAAGUUACUCUAAGUAGGUGAAGCCGAGAACACGGGCUACCUCUUUCCCCAGCUCUCAGUUGAGGGCUACUAUAUCUCGCUGGGAGGGCGGCUGCCAGCAUUUCUCAUACCCUCCAGCUUCAUGCUGCAAAAGCUCUACUUUGGACAAGACUGGCUGAUAAAUCUGGGGCUCACUUCGUAAACCUAGCCCCCAAUCAUAGGGCAGAAACUCCACCUCGGCCAUGGCAGGCUGAGAAUACUGGAGCCUGUGUUACCCUGGCCUCAGCUUGCUCAUGGGGC
rnacentral:lncRNA from 1 species